rnacentral:misc_RNA from 1 species
AGCUUUGAAGGAGGCCCUAUAAGCCGAGAUUUGACAGUCAUUAAGUCAUUAUCAAGGUCUAAUACAGUAGCUUGGAGAUGGGGACUGCAUUCUGAAUCACUCUCCACGGUAUCCCGUGUUGGUAGAGCAUCAUUUUCAUUUCGAGCAUUCAUAACCUUCAUCAAAUAUGCCUUUAUGCUAUUGGAACCUUCAGUCACUACCUCGUUCUGGAACUCUUCCCAACUUCUCGGAUAGAAACCAGUUCUACUCUUUUUCAAUUUAUAUAAGUCGAUACUACCUAGAAGUUCAGUUGCCAUACAUUUAACCUGCUUUUCCAAAUGUUCCACUUCUUCUGGAGCAUUUUU